rnacentral:rRNA from 1 species
AGUGAACGCUGGCGGUAGGCCUAACACAUGCAAGUCGAACGGCAGCACAGUAAGAGCUUGCUCUUACGGGUGGCGAGUGGCGGACGGGUGAGGAAUACAUCGGAAUCUACUUUUUCGUGGGGGAUAACGUAGGGAAACUUACGCUAAUACCGCAUACGACCUACGGGUGAAAGCAGGGGAUCUUCGGACCUUGCGCGAUUGAAUGAGCCGAUGUCGGAUUAGCUAGUUGGCGGGGUAAAGGCCCACCAAGGCGACGAUCCGUAGCUGGUCUGAGAGGAUGAUCAGCAACACUGGAACUGAGACACGGUCCAGACUCCUACGGGAGGCAGCAGUGGGGAAUAUUGGACAAUGGGCGCAAGCCUGAUCCAGCCAUACCGCGUGGGUGAAGAAGACCGUCGGGUUGUAAAGCCCUUUUGUUGGGAAAGAAAAGCAGCAGGUUAAUACCCCGCUGUUCUGACGGUACCCAAAGAAUAAGCACCGGCUAACUUCG